rnacentral:lncRNA from 1 species
CCUUUGUCUACAUUAGAUUCUAGCCCUGUUAAUUGUCUUUGAGGUUUGGCUAUAUACCUGUAAACUAGGCUGGAUCCUGAAUUCACCUGGUUUCCUCAAAUAUCUGGCUACAACUCUUCAACCUAUCACUUCCAAUUUUGUCCCGCUCAUCUGAUUUGGAAUCACCAAAGAACGAAGACUGCUCCUAAAUCUCCUUGGAAGGGACUAUAAGAAAUCUUUCCCAUUACCGGGAUGGCAGCCAAACUUCAGGGACUUGAGCCUUGACUGCACAUCGGACAUCUGAAGGAGGUUUUUCCUGACAUCCAGUCCUGUGCAAGUCCUGGAGGCUUCCAAAUCAAAUUGACGAGGAGGACAGUGAUCUGACAUCAAGGUAGACUGCUUUCUCCAAAUUUGAUGGAUUAGGACUUUCUACUGUAACUAAACAUAAAGCCCUUUAUUCUUUUCUUUAUGUCCUUUACUCUGGCAUUGGCCUGGGAAGAGAGCACCAUUAUCUAUAUCUCCCAGGCCAUUGCUAAGUAUGUGUGGGGGGGAACCUUUCUGACUGAUGGAUUUGUCAGCAGAAACUCUGAUCUGUUCAUGUUGCCAAAGAUCCUUUGGCCUUACCUGUAACCAAUUUCUCCCAUGAUCUGUUUCCCUGCACUCACAGGAAAUGCAAAAGGACUAACUUCUCACUGCAAGGCUUUUCAGAAAGAUCCCUUUAGGAUGGGAUGGUACCUCACGGAAUAUCAUCCAAAUUCCUCUGAUCCCUGGCUUGAAAACGUCAACUAGGAAACUCCAACUGAAGGGUCUAUCAAGAAACUAGGCCUUAGCUGGAGUUCUUUGCACUCCAACUGGCUUCAGUUUUUGUCUGUGCCAGACAGUAUUACCCAUGGGCAUGUGAAUGUUUAGAUAGCUGGUGAAUUGAAGGUCAAUACUUAUUGGGAUGUUUAACUGUCCCUGUCAACAUCCAUAAUAAAUAAGAAACCUCCAAUUGGUUUCCCUCAUUAAACCUUCAGAGCUGCUUUAUUUUUUUUUUUUCAAUGUUUGUUUAUUUUUGGGACAGAGAGACAGAGCAUGAAUGGGGGAGGGGCAGAGAGAGAGGGAGACACAGAAUCAGAAACAGGCUCCAGGCUCUGAGCCAUCAGCCCAGAGCCUGACGCGGGGCUCGAACUCACGGACAGCGAGAUCAUGACCUGGCUGAAGUCGGACGCUUAACCGACUGCGCCACCCAGGCGCCCCCAGAGCUGCUUUAAACAGGAGCUUCCGGGAAGCAUACAUGACAGUGAGUUUUUUUUUUCCCCCUUGAUGGUAGUAAGUGCCAAAGAAAGAGAAUCAGAAACCUCUCCCUCACAUUAAAAGAGCUAGUUGAUUCCACAGCUAAAGGAAUAACAGCCUAACUAUGAUCACUUGACACAUUGGCUAGGCUAGUCUUAGAUAACUGUAUAGCCCUUGAUUACCUACUUGCUAAAUAAUAAGGUGUCUGUGUAAUAGCAAAUCCUGCCUUAUAGCUAUUUGCCAAAUAGCAAAUACAUGGGUAAAGGCCCCUGGAGAGGUAGAAAUUCGAUUACACAAGAUCAGAGAAUAAGCCCAUUGGUUAUGAAAAAUUUCAUCUGGUGACUCCUGGUCUCUUAACCUAUGUACCUAGUUACCUACGGGUUUGGGCUCCUGGCUAGAACCAUUAUACAAGCUGCAUUUGUCAUAGUAUUUUUUAUUUUGCUCUACACAAUUAAGGUCUUGUACCUGUUACUUGUCAAAACUUUGUAGAACUGACACACCCAAUAGGGUGAGGCUAGCUCCGUGCUUUGAGAUGAUCUCUAACAUUUACAGUCUUGGUGAGAUACAGACUUUAGGUAAGUACCUGAAAAUUCUCCUUCCUAACAUUCUCUGUUACUCAAAUGUGGCCUUACAUGUGUUCCAACUGCCAUGUACUUUCUCUCCAAAAAAGGACAUGACAACAAGGAAAUGUCUUUCCUGUUACAGAGGGGCAAGACCACUAAAUAUGGAAAACCUGACUCCCAAUCGAUGCUUUGAAAGAAAGAUCUUGAUCAAAAGAGGGAAAUGUGAAACUGAAUAGAGGAAACCUCAUUUAAAAGGGAGUCAGGAGACCAGAAGGGGAGCUCUCAUGUCGAAUCAUUUGUCCCUCGCAGACCCCAGCAGGAAGAAAUGUACCUUGCAAUACCAGCAGGAAGAAGCCUACUUUACCACCUCAGAAGGAGGAAGGGAGAAUUUCUCCUGACCUAGCAACAAGCUCAGCCAAUAAGAAAAUACCACAACUCAGCCAAUGAGAAACCAUCACUACCCUGAACUCUCAUUUUCCUCCAAUGGAUUUCAUUCAUGCAGCCCCUCCCAACUUCCUUCUCUUCUCUACAAAGUAACCUUCUUUUCCUUUGAUUUUUCAACUGUGUUAUGGUUUGCCAUAGCUUUUGUGUCCUGAACUGCGAUUUCUCUGCUAUUCCUCA